AAAAAUAAAAAAAUUGAGAUGGCAAAGGGUUUUUAAAAUGAAAAAUGAGAAUAUAUAAAACGUGUUUGACCUUGUAAACCCCGUCGACUUUACUCACAAGGGAGAGUCGCCUCGCCUACUCCUCCACAAUUCCCCAUCCCUCCUUUUCCUGUACAGCAGUAGUUUCCAGUGCUGAAUCUCCUACCAAACCCAAACUUAAAUCAUUUCCAAACGUUUGGUCUGGUAAACACCUUUUCAAAACUCGCUUCUUAGUUUUUUAUAUACCUUUCUCAAUACAUCCUUCUUCCUCGUAACAAAUUCUACUUUAUUUUCAC
rnacentral:lncRNA from 1 species